rnacentral:rRNA from 1 species
UCUGGGAUUAGAUACCCUGUUAUUUAAAAUGUAAUUAUAAAGAUUAAGGUAGUAUUAGAUAUGUUCUUUAAACUUAAAAAAUUUGGCGGUAUUUUAGUCUAUUCAGAGGAACCUGUUUUGUAAUCGAUAAUCCACGAUGGACCUUACUUAAGUUUGUUAAUCAGUUUAUAUACCGUUGUUAUUAGAAUAUUUUAUAAGAAUGUUAAUUUUCAUAAUUUUUAUAUAAAAAGUAUAUCAAAUCAAGGUGUAGCUUAUAUUUAAGUAUAAAUGGGUUACAAUAAAUUUAUUUAAGCGGAUAUAAAUUUGAAAUAUUUAUUAAAGAUGGAUUUGAUAGUAAAAUUAUAAAGAUUAAUAAUUUGAUUUUAGCUCUAAAAUAUGCACAAAUCGCCCGUCACUCUCUGA